CGACCCCAGGUCAGGCGGGGUUACCCGCUGAGUUUA
rnacentral:rRNA from 1 species